rnacentral:tRNA from 1 species
GGGCCUGUAGCUCCAAAGGCAGAGCAGCGGACUUUUAAUCCGAAGUGUGUGGGUUCGAGUCCCACCGGGCCCACCA